AUUGAACGCUGGCGGCAUGCUUUACACAUGCAAGUCGAACGGCAGCGGGGAGGAGCUUGCUUCUCUGCCGGCGAGUGGCGAACGGGUGAGUAAUACAUCGGAACGUGUCGAGAAGAGGGGGAUAACCACCCGAAAGGGUGGCUAAUACCGCAUAAAUUCUGAGGAAGAAAGCUGGGGACCUGGGAAUAGGCCUAGCGCUUUUUGAGCGGCCGAUGUCGGAUUAGCUAGUUGGUGAGAUAAAGGCUCACCAAGGCGAAGAUCUGUAGCGGGUCUGAGAGGAUGAUCCGCCACACUGGGACUGAGACACGGCCCAGACUCCUACGGGAGGCAGCAGUGGGGAAUUUUGGACAAUGGGGGCAACCCUGAUCCAGCCAUGCCGCGUGUAUGAAGAAGGCCUUAGGGUUGUAAAGUACUUUUGUUAGGGAAGAAAAGUCAGCUGUGAAUAAUGGCUGAUACUGACGGUACCUAAAGAAUAAGCACCGGCUAACUACGUG
rnacentral:rRNA from 1 species